rnacentral:rRNA from 1 species
GCCAGACUCCUACGGGAGGCAGCAGUGGGGAAUAUUGCACAAUGGGGGGAACCCUGAUGCAGCGACGCCGCGUGAGUGAAGAAGUAUUUCGGUAUGUAAAGCUCUAUCAGCAGGGAAGAAAAUGACGGUACCUGACUAAGAAGCCCCGGCUAACUACGUGCCAGCAGCCGCGGUAAUACGUAGGGGGCAAGCGUUAUCCGGAUUUACUGGGUGUAAAGGGAGCGUAGACGGCAGAGCAAGUCUGAAGUGAAAGCCCGGGGCCCAAAUGCGGGACUGGUUUGGAAACUGCCCGGCUAGAGUGCUGGAGAGGUAAGCGGAAUUCCUAGUGUAGCGGUGAAAUGCGUAGAUAUUAGGAGGAACACCAGCGGCGAAGGCGGCUUACUGGACAGUAACUGACGUUGAGGCUCGAAAGCGUGGGGAGCAAACAGGAUUAGAUACCCCUGUAA